UUGCACGAAGUAAUUAAGUUGUACCUGGUUUGAACCGACUAACAACACGGCUUCAUAGAUAAGUGUCUUAAAUUUGUAAAUGUCGUGAUUAAUUCCAUUGGUUGACACCAAUUUGUUUGCUCUGGUUCAAGGAAGUUCGUUUUAUCCUCAACAAUCGGUACAUAUAAAGCUGACGUUACUAACAGAUCGCUAAGCAUUUGCAUUAAAACUCCAACGAGUGGAUGACAAGUAAUACUAAGCUGAGUUCCAAAGAUGGACAUCAAAGUCUUUUACUGCGUGUUCUGCAUCCUUUUGCUUACCAUGACUGUUCCGUCGCUCUGUGCUGAUGCACCAGCUCAUGAGAAGACAGACAAGAGGUUUAUUGUGAACCACCCAUGUGCUAGUGGCCGAGGCUCGUGUCGACCAGCUUGCUUGGCCGGCGAGCAUAUAACCUACGUCGACAGCGCCGUCUGCGGCACCGACCAUUGCUGUGUGGUUUGAAAGAUACACAUGUAACGUUCAGUGGAAUGCUUCAAUCGCAGAAAGACGACAUUUACUCCGCUGCAUUGUUUAUUUUUUAAUGGAGAUGAUUUAUAUUGAUUUGUUGGAAAGCGAAUAUCUUAUUAGCAAGUACUAAUAAAUGUCAAUUGAAGUUA